GAUGAAGAACGCAGCGAAAUGCGAUACGUAAUGUGAAUUGCAGAAUUCGGUGAAUCAUCGAGUCUUUGAACGCACAUUGCGCCCCCUGGUAUUCCGGGGGGCAUGCCUGUCCGAGCGUCAUUGCUGCCCUCAAGCACGGCUUGUGUGUUGGGCCUCCGUCCUCCUCCCGGGGGACGGGCCCGAAAGGCAGCGGCGGCACCGCGUCCGGUCCUCGAGCGUAUGGGGCUUCGUCACCCGCUCUUGUAGGCCCGGCCGGCGCUUGCCGACACAUCAAUCUUUUUUCCAGGUUGACCUCAGAUCAGGUAGGAAUACCCGCUGAACUUAAGCAUAUCAAUAAGCGGAGGA
rnacentral:misc_RNA from 1 species